rnacentral:rRNA from 1 species
GAUGAACGCUGGCGGCGUGCCUAAUACAUGCAAGUCGAGCGAACGGACGAGAAGCUUGCUUUUCUGAUGUUAGCGGCGGACGGGUGAGUAACACGUGGAUAACCUACCUAUAAGACUGGGAUAACUUCGGGAAAUCGGAGCUAAUACCGGAUAAUAUUUUGAACCGCAUGGUUCAAAAGUGAAAGACGGUCUUGCUGUCACUUAUAGAUGGAUCCGCGCUGCAUUAGCUAGUUGGUAAGGUAACGGCUUACCAAGGCAACGAUGCAUAGCCGACCUGAGAGGGUGACCGGCCACACUGGAAGUGAGACACGGUCCAGACUCCUACGGGAGGCCGCAGUAGGGAAUCUUCCGCAAUGGGCGAAAGCCUGACGGAGCAACGCCGCGUGAGUGAUGAAGGUCUUCGGAUCGUAAAACUCUGUUAUUAGGGAAGAACAUAUGUGUAAGUAACUGUGCACAUCUUGACGGUACCUAAUCAGAAAGCCACGGCUAACUACGUG